ACACACACCAAACUUGCCCAUGGAGAUUUGUCCUUACUCUCUUUUGUGUGUCUGGGACGUGGAAGGUUGUUGUGGACCCAGCCCUACUUCUCCCCAUGUCAGCUGUGGGGGCUCAGCCUUGAGCUUGUUACUGUGGACAAAUCCCACCUGGGAUCUGGUCCUGCAAUGAGCUGUGCUGCUGUUGGGUCUGUGCUCAGCUCUGUCCUGCCUUGCUGCUGGGAUUGGCAUUGGAUUUCUCUCCUCACCUCACAUUUUUCUCACAGUUCCUGGGCUGCCAGUUAAUCUCAUUGCCAGCCCUCUGUGCUGGGGUGCUGUGGCACUGUAACUGCCCUUGUCACAGCCCAUGGAGCAGCUCUGUUCCUCCUGCUUCCCGUCAUCCCAGAAGAUCUACUGGCGUUUGGGACAGGACUCCUGGGACAACUCCUGGCUUUGAAAAGAUUUGCCUGCUGCAAACUGCCAACACAUCCUGGUUUUCAGCCUUUUGCUGUUUAUCCAGUGACAGUCUGAGCACGGGGAUGCCCAAAUCUCUCCUGGGACAGAACUGCUUGUGGAGUCAGUCCUGAACUAGCCUGACUGGAAAUCCUCUCCUGGAGUUUCCCCUGGAAUCCUUGUCACCCACGGUAUGUGGGAACAAAAUCUGGUCUAUAAUGCUCACUCAGAGAAACCUGUGCCCAUCUGGCCAUGGAUGAUAGCAGGGCAUAUUUGUAUGGGAAAUGUGUGCAGGAGCAGGGUUAGUAUCAGAACAUCUUGGUGCUCUUGACAAGAAAACACAUUACUUUUCCUUCAGCAGAGCAUUGCCUGUGGUUCCCUUGCUCGAAUCAAUCAAGUAUCAUAUUGGGUCAUAUUGUACCCAAACUAAUCUACUGCAUCUACCAAUCCAUCUGUUUCUGUUGAAGAAUUCCCAGAAUGUGAACAUGUCUUCAAGUGUUUGUUUAAAG